AAGUCGUGUAAAUUUACAAUUAUUUUACUGUUGCUUUUUAUGUAUUUUUUUACUUAAAUUUAGUAAAUUUACGUAAGUUAGCAGCAUUGUGCAUAAAAUAAGUAAACUUGUGUCACUAUUUGUAUUUUCACAAGUCAAAUUGAAAAAACACAAUACAGAAUCGCAAUUGUAAAUGUAUAUUCACUUUAUAAAUGAAUUAUACUUUAUAAUACCGUAAAUAUACUAACAUUUUUUACAAUUACUUCCAACUUUGUAAAAUAAUCCAGUCUACCGGUGAAAUCACAUGCAUACUGUGAAUUGUUGAUGCGCACGCAAUCAUUACUAUAACGCUUGCAGGUUAUAACAAGUUGGAGUGCAUUAGUUGUGGUAAUAUAUUUUGUACAAAAUAGUGUAUUUUGUUGUUAAAGGUAAGUACUUUACUAUUCUGGUUUACUAUUUUCCUCCAGUUACAAAAGUACACUUUCCAGGCGGAUAAUUACUUACUAUAAUUUGCCCAUGUCAUCUUUAAUUGUUAUGUUAAUGCAAUUUUUAUCACAGGGUGAUGAUAUGAAUAAUUUAAAUGAAAUUAUCAAGGUGGCUGCGCCAUGUGUAAUUGAAAUAGAGAGCGAUCCACAAACAAUUUAUCACGUAGUUUUAAAACGACAAGUAGUGAUUCCAAGUGUUGUCACUUUAAAAGAUGCAGUAUCUUGGGCGUUUGGAUUAUAUUUUAUAAUGAAUUUAGAAUAUCCAGACAAAGUAUCAGCAGUUUUGGAAAUGAUGCAAAGAUUUUUUUUGAAAAUACAUCCAGAUCAAGGAUCCAAAUCAAAAAGAGUAACACCAACAAAACGCAAAGUAAUUGGCUUUAUGAACAAAUUAAAUUAAUGUAAAGUAUAUACAACAUCAAUGACUUUGUUUUGUGUUUAUGAUUUUAUUACAUGUUUAUUAUGUUUUUCACCAUAAAAUAAAAGGUUCACUUUGUC